UAUGAUGUUGAUAAUUGGAUCAUACUUUAUAUAGAUUUUAAAAUAUUUCAAAUUUUUUAUUCACUAUUUGCAUAGAUUUCAAAAUAGUUAUAGUACAAUUUAAUGGUAUAAGAUAAUUUUUUUUUUUUACACGCGGAAGAUACAUCUCGAGUCAAAGCGAGAUCCGUGUAAGGUAUCUACUGGUCGUCCUCUUGACUAAUCAGCUGCGACUGUUGGUUCCUUUCCCA
rnacentral:lncRNA from 1 species